AUUAUAAUUACUCACGUUAACAAAGGAUUAAGGAUGGAACAGUUCAAGACGUAAUCUCGGCAAACAGAGCUAUCUCCAGCUAUGUUUCCCAGUGCCCAGACUGCCUGAAAAGGGGAUAAUGAAACUGUCACCCACAAAGCUUGGUACUUCUGUGAGUACUUUAUAGCCACAACUGCAAAGUUGGCCAGGCACGGUGGCGCAUGCCUGCAAUCCCAGCACUCUGGGAGGCCAGGGCAGAUGGAUCACUUCAGCUCAGGAGUUCAAGACCAGCCUGAGCAACAUGGCAAAACCCUGUCUGUACAAAAAAAAAAAAAAAAUCCACAAAAAUUAGCCGGGCGUGGUGGUACAUGCCUGUAGUCCAGCUACUCAGGAGGCUGAGGAAGAAGGAUCACUUGAGCCCGGGAGCUUGAGGCUGCAGUGAGCUGAGAUCAUGUCACUCACUGCACAUUAUAGUCUCAGGCUGGGCGUGGUGGCUUACGCCUGUAAUCCCAGCACCAUGGGAGGCUGAGGCGGGCAGAUCUGGGCAGAUCACAAGGUCAGGAGUUCGAGACCAGGCUUACUCGGGAGGCUAAGGCAGGAGAAUUGCUUGAACCCAGGAGGCAGAGGUUGCAGUGAGCAGAGAUCGUGCCAUUGCACUCCAGCCUGGGUGACAGAAUCAGACUCCGUCUCAAAAAAAAAGAAAAGAAAAGAAAAGGUAACAAGGAACUAGAACUAGAAUGUUACAGUAAAGACAUAAAUGAUGUCUAAGUUGGUCUAACUUGUGAAAAGGGGAUAAGGUUUUUGAGAUGGAGUUUCACUCUUGUUGCCCAGGCUGGAGUGCAGUGGCACGAUAUCGACUCACUGCAACCUCUGCCUCCUGGGCUCAAGUGAUUCUCCUGCCUCAGCCUUC
rnacentral:lncRNA from 1 species